AUGGUUCUCAAGAAGCUGCUUCAAUUCUUUGGAGUUGGCAAGAAAAAGAAGAAGAAUUCCAACAAAAAAGGCAAGUCCAUCGACCCUCUUUGGCAAGGUGCUAGUGCUGCUCCACACUCCACUGUAAACGUCCUUGCAAGUAACAUUCUUUUGAAUCCCUGUUCAAGUGGGUCUGGUAAUGUGUUGUCACUGCAAAAACAUGAACCUGAAUGUUCAAGUAACAUCUCAUCGGCGAUAAAGGCAGUAGAUGGAUCUGAGAACGAGGAUCACAAGUUAUUUAACCAAUUUGACGUUGUUCAAGAUUACUCUGACCACCACUAUGCAAAGACCUCAACAGGGAAGACGAGCAAAGAUUGGACGAAAACAAUCCAAAAUGAAUGGAAGCUUCUACAGAGAGAUCUACCUGGAUCUAUAUAUGUUAGAGUUUAUGAGGACAGGAUUGAUCUGCUAAGGGCUGCUAUUGUUGGGCCUUCUGGAACUCCAUAUCAUGACGGUCUUUUCUUCUUUGAUGUUCGUUUUCCUCCUGAGUACCCGCGAUGUCCACCGAAAGUGUACUACCAUUCAGGUGGGCUUCGACUAAAUCCAAACCUGUAUGAGAGUGGAAAGGUGUGCCUUAGCCUGCUGAACACUUGGUGGGGUUCUGGAUGUGAGAAGUGGAGCAAGUCGAAUUCCACCAUGCUGCAGGUGUUGAUCUCCAUCCAGGGCCUUGUGUUGAAUGAUAAACCAUAUUUUAAUGAGCCAGGCUACAAAAACACGGUUAAUACACCUCUUGGUGAAAAGCAUUCCAUGGCAUAUAAUCAGACUGCAUUUGUACUAUCCUGCAAGACUAUGUUGUAUUCACUUCGGAAGCCUCCAAUGCAUUUUGAGACCCUUGUCGUGCACCAUUUCCACGAGCGGGAGCGUGCCAUCCUGGACGCAUGCAGCGCAUACGCGUCUGGCAUUAUCGUCGGAUCAUCGGUCAGGGAUGGCGCGAAGUACGCCUGCGAUAAGUGCUUUGCCGGUUUCAAGAAGUCUCUGGAUGCACACACCGAACUUCUCGCAAAGGAGUUGGCUAAGAACAGAGCUCAAGCGCUGGAACUGAAGGGAGACACGCCAGCUGCAGAUGAGAUCGCGUCUACCAGCUAG
rnacentral:rRNA from 1 species